rnacentral:misc_RNA from 1 species
GGAAAUAUUCGUUUAUGCAAAUCCUGGAGAACAUGGAGUUCCCCGGAGUUAAUCUCAGUGUCCCCAUUGGCAGUUGUUGGUGGGCAAGAGACCUCCCUUCUGUUAAGGGGAAGAAAUCUGACUAAUCCUGGCACCAAGAUCCAUUGCACUUAUAUGGGAGGAUACACAUCAAUGGAUGUCAUUGGGUCAACUUCUCCAGGAGCCAUGUAUGAUGAGAUAAAUGUGAACGGUUUUAAAAUUCAUGGGGCUUCUUCUAGUGUUUUGGGUCGCUGUUUCAUUGAAGUGGAAAAUGGUUUCAAGGGCAACAGUUUUCCAGUAAUAAUAGCCAAUGCUACAAUCUGUAAAGAGCUGAGACUUCUUGAAUCUGAGUUUGAUGAAGGGGCUAAAGACAGUGAUAUCAUUUCAGAAGAACAAGCUCAAUGCUUGGAUCGGCCUAGGUCAAGGGAGGAAGUUCUGCACUUUUUGAAUGAACUUGGAUGGCUAUUCCAACGGAGAAAAGUGUCUUCUAUGUUUAAGCUUCCAGAUUAUUCACUUAGACGGUUCAAGUUUUUACUCAUUUUCUCAGUUGAAAGAGACUAUUGCGUGUUGGUCAAAACAAUUUUGGACAUGCUGGUAGAAAGAAAUUUGGACAUGAGUGGGCUAUCCAAGGAGUCAUUGGAAAUGCUUUCUGAGAUCCAGCUUGUGAACCGAGCUGUCAAAAGGAAGUGCAGGAAAAUGGUGGACUUGCUCAUCCAUUAUUCCAUUAAUGGCAGUGAUGUUUCCUCUAAAAAAUAUAUUUUCCCACCAAAUCUUGCUGGACCUGGUGGUAUCACAUCUCUACAUUUGGCUGCUUGCACUUCAGGUUCUGAGGAGUUAGUUGAUGCUUUGACAAAUGACCCACAGGAGAUUGGGUUGUCCUGUUGGAGUUCUCUUCUGGAUGCAAAUAGUCAGUCUCCAUACGCUUAUGCUGUUAUGACGAAUAACCACUCUUAUAACACGAUGGUGGCUCGUAAACUUGCUGACAAAAGAAAUGGUCAAGUUUCUGUAAUAGUUGGAAAUGAGAUGGGGCAACCAUCGUCUUCAGGGAUGACAUCAAAUUUUCAGCAAGGGCGCGGAUCUUGUGCAAAGUGUGCGGCUGUGGCAGCAAAAUACAACAGAAGGGUUAUGGGUUCUCAGGGCUUGCUUCAGCGUCCCUAUGUUCAUUCAAUGCUCGCCAUUGCAGCUGUAUGUGUUUGUGUGUGUCUGUUCUUGCGAGGUGCCCCAGAUAUUGGCUUAGUUGCUCCCUUCAAAUGGGAAAAUUUGGAUUAUGGCACCAUAUAGUGAUAACAUGAAACUUUUUUGGUGAGAAACAGAAAGGAGUCAAAGAAAUAACCUACUUGGAGCAGACAAAAAGCUUGCAAUCAAAGAUAUUUGUCCAUAUGAUGCAGUUAUUUCUGGAAAGGAAAAUGAGUUAUGCCGUUAGGGCAGGGGGUUCCCUGCCUAUUAGAGAGGAGGAAAUA